GAUGAACGCUGGCGGCGUGCCUAAUACAUGCAAGUCGAGCGAACAGAUGAGGAGCUUGCUCCUCUGACGUUAGCGGCGGACGGGUGAGUAACACGUGGAUAACCUACCUAUAAGACUGGGAUAACUUCGGGAAACCGGAGCUAAUACCGGAUAAUAUAUUGAACCGCAUGGUUCAAUAGUGAAAGACGGUUUUGCUGCCACUUAUAGAUGGAUCCGCGCCGCAUUAGCUAGUUGGUAAGGUAACGGCUUACCAAGGCAACGAUGCGUAGCCGACCUGAGAGGGUGAUCGGCCACACUGGAACUGAGACACGGUCCAGACUCCUACGGGAGGCAGCAGUAGGGAAUCUUCCGCAAGGGGCGAAAGCCUGACGGAGCAACGCCGCGUGAGUGAUGAAGGUCUUCGGAUCGUAAAACUCUGUUAUUAGGGAAGAACAAAUGUGUAAGUAACUAUGCACGUCUUGACGGUACCUAAUCAGAAAGCCACGGCUAACUACGUG
rnacentral:rRNA from 1 species